GUUUCAGCUAAUUUUUUUUUUUUUACUUUAUCAGUUAAAACUUGAAAUUGUCAAUAAAAAUGCUGGAGUAAAUAGACCUCCAUUUAAAAUGGACAAAUAAUUUUCUGUGCUCUGUGAAUAGUAUCACAUCUGAAUAUUUUGUGACAUACCACUAUUGCUAUUUUCUGUUCCACAUACUCACAUUCACUGAGAUAAAGUGUAUUUUUAGUUCUUCUUGUGGCUUGUGUGGGGUCACAGUGGUUCAUUAUUUAAAUGACUAGAGGAAACCUUAUCCAAGUUAGUGGGAAUAUGGACUACAAGAGCAUGGAAUAGAAGAGGAAGACAUUGAUGUAAUGUCUUGCUGGCCUGUCACAGACCUGAAGUUAAAUAAAUCCCAAAUGACUGGAGCCCUGCAGGCCCAUCCCAUAGAAAUGAUGGUGAGAUGUAUCUAUUAAUCAUAUGAGUCCAAUCCUGCUUCAGGUAUUAUGUGGCAGGUGUGUGUCAGCAGAGUAAAAGCAUCCGGCUGACAAGACAUCUUUUAAAAUUAAAAUGUAUUUUUUCAGUAUUUUUCUUUGAGAUUGAAUGCAGUGUUG
rnacentral:lncRNA from 12 species